CACGGUAUGAAUUUGGUGUAAAUCUGAGAACGAUGAAUUUUUGACCCCCCCCAAAAAAUCACAAAGGUUAACCCCUUACCAUUUUUCUAUUUUGGGUGAAAAAUUUGACGUUCUCAGAUCUUCCCCAAAUUCACAGUGUGCGUUAGGGAGAUCAAGAGUAACACAGGAGUGCACAUAGUGUUAUUGUAACAUGCUCCAAAGCUGAGAUAUAGUAUCUGCAUUAUUGUGCAGUACAGUAGAUAAAAUAGUAAUAGUAUUGUGUAGUAUACUAUGGUUCAAUAGAUUAAAUAGGUACAGUAGAUAAAAUAGUUAUAGUCUAGGAUAGUAAAAUAUAGUACAGCAUGCUAUCAUAUUGUAUAGCAGAUAAAACAUGUACGUUAUAGUAGAUAAAUUGUUAUAGUGUAGUAUAAUAGCUGAAAUAUGUCAAAUAUACUACAGUAGAGUUGAUAAAAUUGUUAAAGUAAAGAAUAGCAGAUAAAACCGGUAUAUUUCCAUGAAAACGUGUACACUUAAUGUGUAGUUUAACUGAAAUCGACCAUUAAAAUGUGUACAUUUGUGUAUAAACCUGUAUAUUUUAUUGAGUGUAAUAAACCGGAAAUGAGAGGCUCAGAUCUCGGCUCUGGAGCAUGAUCGGACGAAACGAAUCAGACUCUUCUGUUCGUUUUGCCCUCCCUAACGCACCGUAUGAAUUUGGUGUAAAUCUGAGAACGAUGAAUUUUUGACCCCCAAAAAAUCACAAAGGUUAACCCCUUACCAUUUUUCUAUUUUGGGUGAAAAAUGUGACGUUCUCAGAUCUUCCCCAAAUUCACAGUGUGCGUUAGGGAGAUCAAGAGUAACACAUCAGUGCACACAGUUUUGCUCUAUCAUGCUCCAAAGCUGAGACAUAGUAUCUUUAUUUUACUACAGUACAGUAGAUAAAAUCGUAAUAGUAUAGUAUAGUAGAGUUUAGUAGAUUAAAAUAGGUACAGUAGAUAAAAUUGUUAUAGUACAGAAUAGCAGAUAAAACCGGUAUAUUUCCAUCAAAACUUGUACAUUGCACAUGUGGUUUAACUGAAAUUGACCAUUAAAAUGUGAACAUUUGUGUAUAAACCUGUAUAUUUUAUUGAGUGUAAUAUACUGGAAAUGAGAGGCUCAGAUCUCGGCUCUGGAGCAUGAUCGGAUGAAACGAAUCAGACUCUUCUGUUCGUUUUGACCUCCCUAACGCACGGUAUGAAUUUGGUGUAAAUCUGAGAACGAUGAAUUUUUGAC
ensembl:lncRNA